rnacentral:lncRNA from 1 species
GGGAGGAGCAGGGGUUGAUCCUGGGGGGAUCCCAGAUCCCGGAGGAUCCCGGGAAAAGCAGGGAUUGGUUCAGGGGGGGAUCCCAAAAACCCCAGAUCCCAGGAGGAUCAGGGGUUGAUCCAGGGCAGAUCCCAAAUCUGGGAGGAGCAGGGAUUGGUUCAGGGCGGAUCCCAGGAGGACCCCGGGCGGAUCCCAGAGGAUCCCGGGCGGAUCCCGGGUGGAUCAGAGGUUGUUUCAGGGCGGAUCCCAGAUCCAGGUGGAUCCCGGAGGAUCCCAGGAGGACCCCGGGAAGAUCCCAGAGGAUCCCGGGCAGAUCCCGGGUGGAUCAGGGGUUGUUUCAGGGCGGAUCCCAGAUCUGGGCAGAUCCCGGAGGAUCCCAGGAGGAUCCUGGGAGGAUCCCGGGAGCAGCAGGGAUUGGUUCAGGGCGGAUCCCAGGAGAACCCCGGGCAGAUCCUGGGUGGAUCCCGGGUGGAUCAGGGGUUGUUUCAGGGCGGAUCCCAGAUCCGGGCAGAUCCCGGAGGAUCCCAGGAGGAUCCUGGGAGGAUCCCGGGAGCAGCAGGGAUUGGUUCAGGGUGGAUUCCGGCGGAUACAGGCGGAUCCCAGAGAAUCCCAGGUGGAUCAGGGGUUGGUUCAGGGUGGAUCCCAGAUCCAGGGAGCAGCAGGGAUUGGUUCAGGGCGGAUCCCAGGAGGACCCUGGGCGGAUCCCAGAGGAUCCCGGGCAGAUCCCGGGUGGAUCAGAGGUUGGUUCAGGGCGGAUCCCAGGUCCAGGGAGCAGCAGGGAUUGGUUCAGGGUGGAUUCCGGCGGAUCCCGGGCGGAUCCCAGAGGAUCCCGGGUGGAUCAGGGGUUGUUUCAGGGCGGAUCCCAGAUCCAGGUGGAUCCCGGAGGAUCCCAGGAGGACCCCGGGAAGAUCCCAGAGGAUCCCGGGCGGAUCCCGGGUGGAUCAGGGGUUGUUUCAGGGCGGAUCCCAGAUCCGGGCAGAUCCCGGAGGAUCCCAGGAGGAUCCUGGGAGGAUCCAGGGAGCAGCAGGAAUUGGUUCAGGGUGGAUACAGGCGGAUCCCGGGCGGAUCCCGGAGGAUCCCGGGUGGAUCAGGGGUUGUUUCAGGGUGGAUCCCAGAGGAUCCCGGGUGGAUCAGGGGUUGUUUCAGGGCGGAUCCCAGAGGAUCCCGGGUGGAUCCCGGGUGGAUCAGGGGUUGUUUCAGGGUGGAUCCCAGAUCCCAGGCGGAUCCCGGAUCCCAGAGGAUCCCGG